rnacentral:tRNA from 14 species
CGCGGGGUGGAGCAGUCUGGUAGCUCGUCGGGCUCAUAACCCGAAGGUCGUCGGUUCAAAUCCGGCCCCCGCAAC